rnacentral:rRNA from 1 species
AUAUCUCUGUAGAGUCUGCAUAUCAAUAAGCGGAGGAAAAGAAACUAACUAGGAUUCCCUCAGUAACGGCGAGUGAAGCGGGAAGAGCUCAAAUUUGAAAUCUUAAAGGUUUUCCCUUGACGAAUUGUAGUUUAAAGAAGUGUUUUCUGUUGAGUGUUUUGGUAAAAGUUCUUUGGAAUAGGACAUCAUAGAGGGUGAGAAUCCCGUAUUUGACCAUUUACUUUCAGCUUUGUGAUACACUUUCAAAGAGUCGGAUUGUUUGGGAAUGCAGUCCAAAAUGGGUGGUAAAUUUCAUCUAAAGCUAAAUACUGGCGAGAGACCGAUAGCGAACAAGUACCGUGAGGGAAAGAUGAAAAGAACUUUGAAAAGAGAGUUAAACAGUACGUGAAAUUGUCAAAAGGGAAAGCGUUUGACACCAGUGUUGUUUUCUCGAAAAUCAAUUAAAAAAGGCAGGAUUUUGUGUUGUAUUGACUUUAUCAGCUUUCUGCACUCUUUUCUUGUCUUUUUUAAUGCACUUUUCGUUUAACAAGUCAACAUCAAUUUCUUUUGUUGUAAAAGGGUCAUUGGAGGUGGCUUUCUUUUCGGAGAAAGUGUUUAUAGCCUUUGGCCUCUGCAAUCGGAGAGAUUGAGGUCUGCAGCGUAGAUCCUUCGGGGUUAGAUACAUUUGUGCUAAGUUAUAGCCUUUCAUAGACAACUUGUUGACUAUGAUCAGUCAUGUAGCUUACUCGCUUAUGCUAUUUUACCUACGCUUAGGAUGUUGACGAUCAGCUGAGCGCG